GUGCAGAGUCGCUGGGCAACUAGCAAUCUGCAUGUGGUUUUCAUCGCAAAUCUCAUCUCCCAUGUCAGAUGAGUAGUCUGCUGUUGCCGUGGUGAAUCAGUAUUAUACUGUGACCUUGAUUCUGGGCAGAAAUGUACGUUGCCUUGACCAUGAUUACACAAAAUACGUUGUCUAGGAAACAGCACAGUUCCGAGAACAGGAAGGGCUAGAUAAUUCUUGGCUUUGCUUGGAAGCCACACAGUGUUACCUUGUACCCAGCGGGGUCUCAGCUUUCCUUGGAGGCCCCUCUGCUGUCUCUGUGUGUGACACAGACAGAGAGGCAGGACAGAGCCAGGGACAGACAGAAAGGGGGAAACAUCAGAAAGUCACAGGCUAGGGUGAGCCUCUGCAGCUGCUGUGUGAGAGCUGCUGGGGAGGGGGCCAGGCUUCUGGCCUCUUGCCCAGUCUCUGUCACCCAAUGCAGUUCCAGGACUGGGGAGGUGUGGCACUGUGGGAGGGCAUCACCCACCUCUGGGAAAUGUUGGUUGCCUGGCUCCAUCUAUGGGAAGCUCUGCAAAUACAUGCACCACAAACCCCCCAAAUUCCCCACACACAAACACACACACCAUACACCCCACACACACCACACAUGAACACACAAACACACCACACAUGAACACACACACCACACAGACCACACACAGCACACACCACGUACAUCCCACACAUGAACACAUGCCACACACCUCACAUGAACACACACUACACACAUCACACAUGAACACACACCACAUAUGAACACACACACAUCACACACACCACACAUGAACACACACCAUACACCACAUACCACAUGGACCACACACAUGAACACACACCCCACACACCCCACAUAAAUACACCACACAUGAACACACACACAGCACACAUGAACACAUACACACUACAUACACUCCCCACAUGAACACACACACCCCCCAUAUGAACACACAUACCAUAUACCUCACAUACCCCACAUGAACACACCCUCCACAUAGUCCCAUAUGAACACACACACCCUACACAUGAACACGCACACACCACACAUGAACACACACCCUGCACACCACACAUGAACACAUACACCCCACAUGCCACACAUGAAUACACACACCACACAUGAACACACAGAUCAC
rnacentral:lncRNA from 1 species